GAUGAACGCUGGCGGCGUGCCUAAUACAUGCAAGUCGAGCGAACGGACGAGAAGCGUGCUUUUCUGAUGUUAGCGGCGGACGGGCGAGUAACACGUGGAUAACCUACCUAUAAGACUGGGAUAACUUCGGGAAACCGGAGCUAAUACCGGAUAAUAUUUUGAACCGCAUGGUUCAAAAGUGAAAGACGGUCUUGCUGUCACUUAUAGAUGGAUCCGCGCUGCAUUAGCUAGUUGGUAAGGUAACGGCUUACCAAGGCAACGAUGCAUAGCCGACCUGAGAGGGUGAUCGGCCACACUGGAACUGAGACACGGUCCAGACUCCUACGGGAGGCAGCAGUAGGGAAUCUUCCGCAAUGGGCGAAAGCCUGACGGAGCAACGCCGCGUGAGUGAUGAAGGUCUUCGGAUCGUAAAACUCUGUUAUUAGGGAAGAACAUAUGUGUAAGUAACUGUGCACAUCUUGACGGUACCUAAUCAGAAAGCCACGGCUAACUACGUG
rnacentral:rRNA from 1 species